rnacentral:lncRNA from 1 species
GGGAGACUUUGUAUCCUCCUGUUGGAAGAGGAUUUAUUAAACAAGCCAAUUAUUUAGCUGGAAACAUGACUUUGCUAUUGUCAUGACUUGCUAUUGACUUUGCAAAUUAUGAAUGUUUACAGAAAAAGUAUGCAUAAAUGCUAAGUUACGGACUGUGUUGGCUUGCACUAUGUGAAAUUAGCUCACCUGGAAUUGUAUGUACUAGAAUUUCUGAGUAUGUUUCUUUUUUUUUUUGGUACUGGGGAUUGAACUUGGGAUCUUGUGCUUUCGAGGCAGGUGGCGGAACCACUGAGCUAAAUCCCUGGCCCCUGAGUAUGUUUCUUGAUCAGCGCUGAAGACAAGGAUUUUAUGUGCAACUGGAGAGAGUAAAGCAGCAGUGUAGGGCACCAGACACUGUAGCAACUUGUACAGGUUAUUACUGAUCUACGCUGAUCUGAUAGUGGUAUGAGGAAUUAGGGCCUGAAGCCCCUUAGCAAUUUUCUUCAGCUUUUAUAAUUAAUAGGCCAAGUGCAUGGGCAACACCAUGGUAACCUCUGAUGUCAAGGAGGUACAGAUGUGGGUUCUUCUAGUCUCUUCAUGAACUCCGUUGUUCUUUUAGUUUAUUUGCCCUUGUUCUUGUUCACAUCUACCUUUCCUUCCACAAUACUGAUUAGGCUGACCAGUAAUAGCUGCAGCUCUACACCAGAUGCUAACAUCAGCAAAGCAGACACCCCCUCUGACUGGCUGCCAUCAUUGUGUAAGUCUUAAUCCUUACAACAAUCUUUGUUUUCUUCUCUCUCUGUUUCUUUUUUUUGUAGUACUGUGGAUUGAACCUAGGGUCUUCAUAGUGAGCUACAUGCUCCCCCUAUUAUAAUUUUUUCUUUUUAAAUUUUCAGGCAGGGUCUCAUUAAGUUGCCCAGGCUGAACUCAAACUUGCAGUCUUCCUGUCUCAGUCUCUGUGUUGAGAUUGCAGGUGUGCACCACCAUGCCCAGUGCCGCGGAUUGAACUCAGGACCUUGUGCUUUCCAGGCAGGCCCAACGCCACUGAGGUAAAUCCCCA